rnacentral:rRNA from 1 species
UACGGGGGGUGCGAGCGUUGUCCGGAAUCACUGGGCGUAAAGGGCGCGUAGGUGGUCUGAUAAGGGUGUGGUGAAAGUCCGGGGCUCAACCCCGGAUCUGCCGUGCCGACUGUCAAACUCGAGGACUGUAGAGGCAGACGGAAUUCCGGGUGUAGCGGUGGAAUGCGUAGAGAUCCGGAGGAAGACCGGUGGCGAAGGCGGUCUGCUGGGCAGUUUCUGGACAGCUGAGGCGCGACAGCGUGGGGAGCAACAGGG